GAUUCACUAAAAACUGUCCUGAAUUCCUAAGAAUUUAUUUACCGCAAAACUGACAAAGUGUUUAUUUAAAAAAUGAGGUUGAAGGUAGUCCUUUUCUUUCAUUUCAUUCAUUUUCAUUUUCUUUCUUAAGUAUGGCUAACACAAUAUCUAAUCAAUUAAAAUUUUAUAUUUUCACGUGAGUUUCUUUAGAUAAUUAUUAUCAACAUGAUGACUAACUCUUACGGAUUAAUACGUGUCUGUAGGGCAAUCCGGUGGACUUGAUCGGCUUUUUACUUCGAAAGUUGAGUAAUCGGUGUCGCUUUCUUACGCAUCUUUGAACUGUAUAAAUGUUUUAAAAUUGUUUGAUCCAGAAUGUACCACACCGGACAAUCAAGAAGGCAGGUGCCUUGACUACAGAAAAUACGAUCAGUGUGCAGAUACCAGGGCAAUGUUACGAUCGUUUGCUGUCCGAACGAUCCAAACAAAGACAAGAGAGAAAUUUUAAUAAAAACUGUGUAUAAGUAUAAGGCUUUGCGACCACCAUACUGUGGUUUUAGCAACGUCUCUCAUACCAGGGUGGUCGAUGGUAAACCAGCUGAACUUGGUACGUUUUAUGUCUUUCUUUCCGAUUAAUAAUAAGCCAUUUACUGCAAAGAAUGAACUUUAAAGGCAUUAAACAGCACAUCAAUGAAGAGUAUCUUUUUGCUUGAAAUAAAAAAUUGAUAUAGGAGUAAUAAUAUGGAUAGAGAUCAAAAACUGUUAGGGCAGAAAUUACACGUUUGAACUUUAUAGUUCAGUAUAGUUCAAAUAGAAAUUAUAUAGAAUUAUUUAAUAAUUUGUAUUCCACUGGAAUAAAAAUUUAAUUUCUGUCUUUAUCAAAUCUCUAUUUCAGAGUAUUUGUACGUAUGUACUUAUCGUCUGCUGUAUGAUCGAAUAUCG